AUACGGAGGGUGCAAGCGUUACUCGGAAUCACUGGGCGUAAAGCGCGCGCAGGCGGCUAUUUAAGUUGGAUGUGAAAGCCUACGGCUCAACCGUAGAACUGCAUCCAAAACUAUUUAGCUAGAGUGUGGGAGAGGAAGAUGGAAUUAGUUGUGUAGGGGUAAAAUCCGUAGAGAUAACUAGGAAUACCAAAAGCGAAGGCAAUCUUCUGGAACACUUCUGACGCUGAGGCGCGAAAGCGUGGGGAGCAAACGGGAUUAGAAACCCCAGUAGUCC
rnacentral:rRNA from 1 species